rfam:Pan troglodytes isolate Yerkes chimp pedigree #C0471 (Clint) chromosome 12, whole genome shotgun sequence.
GCUGGGUGUGGUGACGCACAUCUGUAAUCCCAGCUACUCGGGAGGCUGAGGCAGGAGAAUCGCUUGAACCCGGGAGGCGGAGAUUGCAGUGAGCCAGGAUCGCACCACUGCACUCUAGCCUGGGUGACAGAGUGAGACUCUUCUUUUU